AGGUCAGGCUUCACUGAAGAAAAUGCCUAUAAGUAAUGAAACGCUUGUCUUUUAAUGCCUGUUGAGACUUAACUGUUAAAGAGUUAGAUGACCAGCUCAGAUGUACACAUCUAUGCUGCUGAUACACACUUGAAAAGCCCAUCUAUUAAGACAUCUAUAUACCCGAAUGACAUUUUAAUUUGGAGGUGCUGAAAUCAAGUUCACAGCACUGAAGCAGAGGCAUCCAGAAAAAGUGCUGAAGGGUCACGAGGAACAAAAAUGCCUCCAGAAGGCUGGGUGGAAACAGCCAGCCAUAAAUAGCUGGAACAAUUAUGAACUGGAGAAAAUGAAGAAA